GUCUUUGUAGUAUAAGAAUUAUACUGGUCUUGUAAACCAGAGACGGAGAAUUAUUUACCUCCCUAAGACA
rnacentral:tRNA from 1 species